rnacentral:rRNA from 1 species
CCCUUAGAUGUUCUGGGCCGCACGCGCGCUACACUGAUGCAUUCAACGAGCCUAUCCUUGACCGACAGGUCCGGGUAAUCUUUGAAUCUGCAUCGUGACGGGGAUAGAUUAUUGCAAUUAUUAAUCUUCAACGAGGAAUGCCUAGUAGGCGCAAGUCAUCAGCUUGCGUCGAUUACGUCCCUGCCCUUUGUACACACCGCCCGUCGCUACUACCGAUCGGAUGGUUUAGUGAGACCCUCGGACUGGUCCCGCUGUCGGACAGGCAACUGUUUGCAGCGCGUGCGCCGGGAAGAAGGUCGAACUUGACUAUCUAGAGGAAGUAAAAGUCGUAACA